rnacentral:rRNA from 1 species
AUUGAACGCUGGCGGCAGGCCUAACACAUGCAAGUCGAACGAGUGGCGGACGGGUGAGUAAUGUCUGGGAAACUGCCUGAUGGAGGGGGAUAACUACUGGAAACGGUAGCUAAUACCGCAUACCAUCAGAUGUGCCCAGAUGGGAUUAGCUAGUAGGUGGGGUAAAGGCUCACCUAGGCGACGAUCCCUAGCUGGUCUGAGAGGAUGACCAGCCACACGGGAACUGAGACACGGUGCAGACUCCUACGGGAGGCAGCAGUGGGGAAUAUUGCACAAUGGGCGCAAGCCUGAUGCAGCCAUGCCGCGUGUGUGAAGAAGGCCUUCGGGUUGUAAAGUACUUUCAGCGGGGAGGCGUUACCGACAGAAGAAGCACCGGCUAACUCCGUGCCAGCAGCCGCGGUAAUUC